rnacentral:rRNA from 1 species
AUGGGGCUUCUCCGGCCAUUCACAUUCAGUCCACAGCCGCCGGAGUUGGAACAAAUGGACCUGCAUUUUUUCCCGGGAAAAAAGAGGAACAUGGAUCCAUGCGGCAACCUUGAAACCUUCUGGCGAUUCGUUGGGAGCUUCACCAGCACCAAGAAGAUGAAUCUACGGCUGAACCACCUUCAGGAUGUGGCCGUGCUCAACGAGGCGAGGCGGGUCGAGCUCCUGCCGGCCUUCCGCCGCCUUGAGUGCCUCGAGCUGGAAGGGGUGCGCAGGGGGAGAGGCAAGACAGCGGCGGCAGCCAUCGCAAACCUGCUCCGCUGUAGCAACGCACUCCAUGACCUCAGGAUCAACCUCACCACGGAGCACGAGGACGCCUACAAACAAGAACGGUACAUUACUGAAUUCUUGGAAUGGAAAUUUCGACACGACCGCGACAAGUCCAUGGAUCGUUUCGACCGUUGUGACGAUUCCUUUUCUUUGGAAGGAGAUGAAGAAACCAUCAGUGUUGCCUAUGACGAUGUACCUGAAAUCCCAGGCUUGAGUCGACGCUCCUUCGAAUGCUUGCAGAGCUCGCUGAGGAGAGUGGCCUUGCGAUUCUGGCCGGAGAAGUCCAACUGUCUCGGUAUCAAGCUCAUCAAAUUCUUCGCUGAGAAUGCAAUGAUUCUUGAAGAAAUGCACAUCGAUGCUGGCAACGGAAAGUUGUGCGAGCAUGUGAAUCACACGAUUGAAACAUGGAUCAACCAUUCAUCCAAAAGCAGAAACUUAUAG